AGAGUUUGAUCCUGGCUCAGAAUCAACGCUGGCGGCGCGCUUAACACAUGCAAGUCGAACGAGAAAGCCCGCAAGGGUGAGUAAAGUGGCGUACGGGUGAGUAACACGUGGGUAAGCUACCUUCUGGUGGGGAAUAACCCUGGGAAACCGGGGCUAAUACCGCAUAAGCUCGAAAGAGGAAAGGUGCAAAUCGCCGAAAGAGGAGCCCGCGGCUGAUUAGCUAGUUGGUGAGGUAAAGGCUCACCAAGGCGAAGAUCGGUAGCCGGCCUGAGAGGGCACACGGCCACACUGGCACUGAAACACGGGCCAGACUCCUACGGGAGGCAGCAGUGGGGAAUCUUGCACAAUGGGGGAAACCCUGAUGCAGCGACGCCGCGUGAGCGAUGAAGCCCUUCGGGGUGUAAAGCUCUUUCGGCAGGAACGAUAAUGACGGUACCUGAAGAAGAAGCUGCGGCUAACUACGUGCCAGCAGCCGCGGUAAUACGUAGGCAGCGAGCGUUGUUCGGAGUUACUGGGCGUAAAGCGUGCGUAGGCGGUUUUGUAAGUUUGGUGUGAAAUCUCCCGGCUCAACUGGGAGGGUGCGCCGAAAACUGCAAGGCUGGAGUGUGGGAGAGGUAGGCGGAAUUCCUGGUGUAGCGGUGAAAUGCGUAGAUAUCACGAGGACCACCUGUGGUGUAGACGGCUUACUGGACCAUGACUGACGCUGAGCACG
rnacentral:rRNA from 1 species